UACGUAGGAUGCAAGCGUUGUCCGGAUUUAUUGGGCGUAAAGAGUUCGUAGGCGGUUUGUUAAGUCUGGUGUUAAAGAUCAAGGCUCAACCUUGGGAGUGCAUUGGAUACUAGCAGACUAGAGUGUAGUAGGGGCAAGUGGAAUUUCCAGUGUAGCGGUAAAAUGCGUAGAUAUUGGAAAGAACACCAGUGGCGUAAGCGGCUUGCUAGGCUAUAACUGACGCUGAGGAACGAAAGCCAGGGGAGCAAAUGGG
rnacentral:rRNA from 1 species